AACGAACGCUGGCGGCAGGCUUAACACAUGCAAGUCGAGCGAAGACUUCGGUCUUAGCGGCGGACGGGUGAGUAACGCGUGGGAACAUACCCUUUGCUACGGAACAGUCCCGGGAAACUGGGUUUAAUACCGUAUACGCCCUUCGGGGGAAAGAUUUAUCGGCAAAGGAUUGGCCCGCGUUGGAUUAGGUAGUUGGUGGGGUAAAGGCCUACCAAGCCGACGAUCCAUAGCUGGUUUGAGAGGAUGAUCAGCCACACUGGGACUGAGACACGGCCCAGACUCCUACGGGAGGCAGCAGUGGGGAAUCUUCCGCAAUGGACGAAAGUCUGACGGAGCAACGCCGCGUGAGUGAUGAAGGCCUUCGGGUUGUAAAGCUCUUUCAGCUGGGAAGAUAAUGACGGUACCAGCAGAAGAAGCCCCGGCUAACUCCGUGCCAGCCGCCGCUGUAACAC
rnacentral:rRNA from 1 species